rfam:Fukomys damarensis contig150898, whole genome shotgun sequence.
UGCAGAAAAGUCAAAUUCCGGUAUUACUUUUUUAUAAUUAUACAGGCCCAAACUGCCACCAUGAGGCAUCUGAACCCAUUUCCUAAAAAUUCAGUAGGAUAAUUUUGUUUCUGAAAUAG